UCCGCCUUUUCCAGGCAAAUUGCUUUAAUUUUGUAUUGUGUAUUUGAAAUGUUUAUUUUGUCUAAAAAUGUUUGCAAAACGGGGAAAAAAAUUAUAUUAAUACGAUAUUGCAAAUUGCAAAUUCGCAGUAUAUCAAGACAGCUAGAAGAUUACAAUUCGCUAUGUUUUUGGAGAGUCGAAGCUAUCUCAGAUGAACAUGAAAGAAUGAUUCAAAUAAAAACAAAUAGAUCAUGAUAAUACUUAAUCAAUAAUAAUUUUUAUAAUUAUCACGUUCUGAAUUAAAAACAAAAACAAGCAAUUUAAGCCUUUAAAGGCAAGAACGAUUGGAUCAAAGAAUAGAUUUAUUUCAGGAGAAUAACAGGCCAUAUUGCUAUAACGUGUUUUUGUUUAUUAAUCACCUUGAAUCAGAUACCAUUUAAUUGCGCAUUCAUAAGUAUCUAUGAAUUUUCCUAUUUAAAGUCAAAUCUGAACCAUGAAUUGUACCAAUUGUGUUGAUAGACUUCAAAUUAACAACAGUUGAAAUUAUCUAUUUGUUCUGCUUAAUUCAAUCAUUGUUCAACUUGAUCAUCAAAUAUAAUGGAUCCUCCAAGCAAAACUAGCCAGGGAAACCCAAUCCGCAACCCAAUUGGCCCAGGCCACAACUGGCCUCAUACUGGCUACCAAGGGACUGGAACCAAGACUGAUCUUGAUAAUCAUGGUAAACAAAUGAACCCAAACAAUCCUGCUUAUUCCAGUAGUCGAGCUGGCAGUAAGAAGUGAACAUGAGCUUAUUCCAAGAUUCAAUUAGGUAUUUUUUUGUUUAUGGAUUUCUUAGCAGCUUACAUCUAUUGAAUCUUUACAAUUUAAAAUAAAAUUGAUUGGAAUCUAAACUGAAA